rnacentral:tRNA from 1 species
GUAGGCAUAAUUUAAAAAAAAUAUUAGAUUGUGAUUCUAAAGACAGAGGUUAAACUCCUCUUGCUCACC